UUCCCCUCCCAGCCCGGGUGAAACCCGAGCGCCCCACCCGGCGCCUGACCUCCCUGGGCCCCGCCCCCGACACUGCCCUUCCCGGGACGCGCCCCCCCUCUUUCGCCCCGGCGGCCCCUGUUCCCCGGGACCCCCACUCCUUCUUUAGUGCGAGUGCGCCCGAGCGUUGACUUUCGGGGAUUCCCUGUACCCGACCUCGCACAGACCUUUGUGGCUCCCCCGCCCCCCAAUCCGGCCGCUCAGACGUGGCUGCUGGCGGGGGGGGGGGGGGGGGCGGGGGGAGAGGCGGCGGCGGGUGGGGGGAGGGCGCGGUAUAAAGGGCCGGAGGCUGCGCGGGCUGAGACCCGAGACGUGGCGCGCCCACCCUGCCGGCCUCAUCUCCAGCCACAUCGCUCGUGACACGGCCGGUGCAGCGGAGCAAAGCCAGGAGGGGGCUGGACAGACCACCACAACCACCACCCAGAAGAGGUGCUGACGAUGCUGUGGGUCAGGAGUGCCUCAGGGAACCCCGGGUGUUCGUGAUCUUUAAUGACUGGAUGAGAUUGUAUUAACAUCAUGAAAAACCUCAGUCCGGGAAAUCAUGGCCUCUGGGCGUUUACGGGAUACAAGAAAUCCUUCACAGGAUUUUCCUAUAGAUCAGGGGGGCGGGUACACCACAGUCGUCAACCACUGGUGUUCUUUUUCUCAGGUUUUCCUUCGUUUGGAUCCAUGGCCUUUAAGAAUUAAUAAAACUGCUAGAUCAAAAACCC